UACGUAGGGUGCGAGCGUUGUCCGGAAUUAUUGGGCGUAAAGGGCUCGUAGGCGGUUUGUCGCGUCGGGAGUGAAAACACCGGGCUUAACUCGGUGCUUGCUUUCGAUACGGGCAGACUAGAGGCAUGCAGGGGAGAACGGAAUUCCUGGUGUAGCGGUGAAAUGCGCAGAUAUCAGGAGGAACACCGGUGGCGAAGGCGGUUCUCUGGGCAUGUCCUGACGCUGAGGCACGAAGGUCAGGGGAGCAAACGGG
rnacentral:rRNA from 1 species